GUAAAUGUAGUUUAACUAAAAUGUUAGGCUGUGAAUCUAAUGAUGGGGCUUAACCGCCCCCGUUUACC
rnacentral:tRNA from 2 species